rnacentral:tmRNA from 1 species
GGGGGCGCACCGGUUUCGACCGGUUUCGUUCAGCGGCGGGUGGCGUGUCGGGGAUCUCGAGUCACCCCGUAAAAUCCUCUUGGGGCGGCAUUGCAUGCCAACAACUAUUCUCUCGCGGCCUGAUUCAUCAGUCCGCCGUUUCCGGUCGGAGUGCCCGCGGCCGGCCGGGAACGUACACAGCGGGCUGGCCGGCGAGUCGCGCCUCGGGGCGGACCGGCGAGAACCUUCCGAGACUGGUACGUGAAGAGCCUGCUCCUGGGCGCGACACGGAUGACGACAAACCAGGAGACACACACGUAGAAGCUCGUCGACGGGGCAUUCCGGGACGCGGGUUCGAUUCCCGCCGCCUCCACCA